GCUCCGUUGGUGAACCAGCGGAGGGAUCAUUACAGGACUCGCAAGACUCCUACAACCCUGUGAACUUAACUAUAAGCACGUUGCUUCGGCGGUUGUCUCGGAGGGGGUUCUCCCUCCCCGAGACGCUAAACCCGCCGGCAGCCUACUAUACUCUGUCUCUUUGCGUUGGCAUCUCGAGUACAAUCAAACAAGUUAAAACUUUCAACAACGGAUCUCUUGGUUCUG
rnacentral:misc_RNA from 1 species